AAGGGAGACCUAAUUCAGGUAGGAGACGAAAAAAAAGUAGUCGCUACCAAGAAUCAAUCCCAAAAGGUCGGAGCGAGGCGAAAUUGGCUUUCAAACUAGGUUCUGGGUUCACACAAGACCUGAAUCAGGAACAAGGGCUAUUAGCUCAGGUGGUUAGAGCGCACCCCUGAUAAGGGUGAGGUCCCUGGUUCGAGUCCAGGAUGGCCCACCUGCACAGGUGGCAAAAACAAGAGAAGCGAGGAAUCAGCACCUUAUCUUAUCUAUAUAUAAGAGAGAAUGCUGGCUCUGAGUAAAGAGUCCAGAGGAACCUUGAAAACUGCAUAGAGCUAGGUGAAAAAGCCAAAAAAGAAGACCGCAA
rnacentral:tRNA from 1 species